rnacentral:lncRNA from 1 species
UAAGUCUAUCACCGGGUGCAUACUAUAUCAGCCUUUAACAAAUUAAGUUAACAUCCGACACGUCAGUCUCAGCGUUGAGUUUUAGUCACGUUAUUUUUGGAAUAUUUUGGUGGAUGAUUCAUGAUCACCUCUUCGAUGCUAUAAGGAUCUCCGGUGCUCUGUACCAGCGAGUGGCCACAUAAUCUACAAUAAGGGCUGAAAGUUCAAUCACAUUUUCAAACAUUGGGAAGGAGAUUUGAGUUAAAAGUAUUUUUUGUUCAACCUUUGAC